rnacentral:tRNA from 2 species
GGGCCCGUAGCUCAGUGGCAGAGCGGUCGGCUCAUAACCGAUUGGUCGUUGGUUCGAAUCCAGCCGGGCCCA